AAACAUGGCUUUUUGAUUAUAAUUUAAAGUCUGGCCUGCCCACUGAGUAUUUAAAUGGCUGCGGUACUUUGACCGUGCAAAGGUAGCAUAAUCAUUAGUUUUUUAAUUGAAAGCUGGUAUGAAAGGUCGGAUGAGAAAAUAACUGUCUCUAUUUAAAUUUUUUAGAAUUUUAUUUUUAAGUAAAAAAGCUUAAAUAUUAAUAGAAGACGAGAAGACCCUAUAGAGUUUUAUUAAAAUUUUUUUUUAAGAGUAUUGGUAUAUAAAAUUUUAUAGGAAAUUUUAAUUUGGUUGGGGUGAUCAAAAAAUUAAAUAAACUUUUUUUUUAUUAAAACAUUUAUUUAUGAAUAUUUGAUCCUUUAAUUAAGAUUAUAAGAUUAAAUUACCUUAGGGAUAACAGCGUAAUUUUUCUAGAGAGUUCAAAUCGAAAGAAAAGUUUGCGACCUCGAUGUUGGAUUAAAAUAAAAUUUUGGUGUANAAGCUAAAGUAUUUAGGUCUGUUCGACCUUUAAAAUUUUACUUGAUCUGAGUUC
rnacentral:rRNA from 1 species